GACGAACGCUGGCGGCGUGCUUAACACAUGCAAGUCGAACGGAAAGGCCCUGCUUUUGUGGGGUGCUCGAGUGGCGAACGGGUGAGUAACACGUGAGUAACCUGCCCUUGACUUUGGGAUAACUUCAGGCAGCUGGGGCUAAUACCGGAUAGGAGCUCCUGCUGCAUGGUGGGGGUUGGAAAGUUUCGGCGGUUGGGGAUGGACUCGCGGCUUAUCAGCUUGUUGGUGGGGUAGUGGCUUACCAAGGCUUUGACGGGUAGCCGGCCUGGGAGGGUGACCGGCCACAUUGGGACUGAGAUACGGCCCCGACCCCUACGGGAGGCAGCAGUGGGGAAUAUUGCACAAUGGGCGGGAGCCUGAUGCAGCACCGCCGCGUGCGGGAUGACGGCCUUCGGGUUGUAGACCGCUUUCGCCUGUGACGAAGCGUGAGUGGCGGUAAUGGGUAAAGAAGCACCGGCUUACUUCGUG
rnacentral:rRNA from 1 species